UGGAUCCAGACUUUGAUUAUGGCUCAGGAUGAACGCUAGCUACAGGCUUAACACAUGCAAGUCGAGGGGAAACGACAUCGAAAGCUUGCUUUUGAUGGGCGUCGACCGGCGCACGGGUGAGUAACGCGUAUCCAACCUGCCCACCACUUGGGGAUAACCUUGCGAAAGUAAGACUAAUACCCAAUGAUAUCUCUAGAAGACAUCUGAAGGAGAUUAAAGAUUUAUCGGUGAUGGAUGGGGAUGCGUCUGAUUAGCUUGUUGGCGGGGUAACGGCCCACCAAGGCAACGAUCAGUAGGGGUUCUGAGAGGAAGGUCCCCCACAUUGGAACUGAGACACGGUCCAAACUCCUACGGGAGGCAGCAGUGAGGAAUAUUGGUCAAUGGACGAGAGUCUGAACCAGCCAAGUAGCGUGCAGGAUGACGGCCCUAUGGGUUGUAAACUGCUUUUAUAAGGGAAUAAAGUGAGUCUCGUGAGACUUUUUGCAUGUACCUUAUGAAUAAGGACCGGCUAAUUCCGUGCCAGCAGCCGCGGUAAUACGGAAGGUCCGGGCGUUAUCCGGAUUUAUUGGGUUUAAAGGGAGCGUAGGCCGGAGAUUAAGCGUGCUGUGAAAUGUAGACGCUCAACGUCUGCACUGCAGCGCGAACUGGUUUCCUUGAGUACGCACAAAGUGGGCGGAAUUCGUGGUGUAGCGGUGAAAUGCUUAGAUAUCACGAAGAACUCCGAUUGCGAAGGCAGCUCACUGGAGCGCAACUGACGCUGAAGCUCGAAAGUGCGGGUAUCGAACAGGAUUAGAUACCCUGGUAGUCCGCACGGUAAACGAUGGAUGCCCGCUGUUGGUCUGAAUAGGUCAGCGGCCAAGCGAAAGCAUUAAGCAUCCCACCUGGGGAGUACGCCGGCAACGGUGCAACUCAAAGGAAUUGACGGA
rnacentral:rRNA from 1 species